rnacentral:rRNA from 1 species
AGUGAACGCUGGCGGCAGGCUUAACACAUGCAAGUCGAACGGUAAGGCCCUUUGGCGUAUACGAGUGGCGAACGGGAGAGUAACACGUGGAUGUUCUGCCCUGCACUUCGGGAUAAGCCUGGGAAACUGGGUCUAAUACCGGAUAGGACCCUGGGAUGCAUCUCCUGGGGUGGACAAAGUUUGCGGUGGGGGAUGUGCCCGCGGCCUAGCAGCUUGUUGGUGGGGUGAUGGCCUACCAAGGCGACGACGGGUAGUCGGCCUGAGAGGGUGCCCGGACACACUGGGACUGAGAUACGGCCCAGACUCCUACGGGAGGCAGCAGUGGGGAAUAUUGCACAAUGGGCGCAAGCCUGAUGCAGCGACGCCGCGUGAGGGAUGACGGCCUUCGGGUUGUAAACCUCUUUCAGCACCGACGAAGCGCAAGUGACGGUAGGUGCAGAAGAAGGACCGGCCAACUACGUGCCAGCCGCCGCAGUAAGAC